rnacentral:rRNA from 1 species
UCAGUCUAAAUAGGCAAAUCCGUUUAGACAAUGCUAGGAUGUGAUGGGGAAGCCCUUCGGGGCGAAGUAGCUGAUUUCACACUGUCAAGAAAAGCUUCUAUCGAGUUUAAAGGCGCCCGUACCGUAAACCGACACAGGUGGGUGAGGAGAGCAUCCUAAGGCCAGCGAGAGAACUAUUGUUAAGGAACUCGGCAAAAUGACCCCGUAACUUAGGGAGAAGGGGUGCCUGUCUAUGACAGGCCGCAGAGAAUAGGCCCAAGCGACUGUUUACCAAAAACACAGGUUUCUGCUAAGUCGCAAGACGAUGUAUAGGAGCUGACGCCUGCCCGGUGCUGAAAGGUUAAGGGGAUCUGUUGGAGCAAUCGAAGCAGUGAACUUAAGCCCCAGUAAACGGCGGCCGUAACAAUAACGGUCCUAAGGUAGCGAAAUUCCUUGUCGGGUAAGUUCCGACCCGCACGAAAGGCGUAACGAUUUGGGCACUGUCUCAACAAUAGACUCGGUGAAAUUGUAAUCCCGGUGAAGAUGCCGGGUACCUGCGACAGGACGGAAAGACCCCAUGGAGCUUUACUGUAGCUUGACGUUGGGUCUUGGUACUACAUGUACAGGAUAGGUGGGAGACUAUGAAGCAUGGACGCCAGUCUGUGUGGAGUCAUCCUUGGGAUACCACCCUUGUAGUACUGGGAUCCUAACCAUAGGCCUUGAAUCAGGUCUUGGAACACCGUCAGGUGGGCAGUUUGACUGGGGCGGUCGCCUCCUAAAAAGUAACGGAGGCGCUCAAAGGUUUCCUCAGCACGGUCGGAAAUCGUGCGAAGAGUGUAAAGGCAAAAGGAAGCUUGAUUGCAAGACAUACAGGUCGAGCAAGGACGAAAGUCGGACUUAGUGAUCCGGUGGUACCGCAUGGAAGGGCCAUCGCUCAACGGAUAAAAGCUACCCUGGGGAUAACAGGCUUAUCUCCCCCAAGAGUCCACAUCGACGGGGAGGUUUGGCACCUCGAUGUCGGCUCAUCACAUCCUGGGGCUGUAGUAGGUCCCAAGGGUUGGGCUGUUCGCCCAUUAAAGUGGUACGCGAGCUGGGUUCAGAACGUCGUGAGACAGUUCGGUCCCUAUCCGUCGCAGGCGUAGGAAAUUUGAGAAGACCUGUCCUUAGUACGAGAGGACCGGGAUGGACGUACCUCUGGUGUACCAGUUGUUCUGCCAAGGGCAUGGCCGGGUAGCUAUGUGCGGAAUGGAUAAGCGCUGAAAGCAUCUAAGCGCGAAGCCAACUUCAAGAUAAGAUUUCCCACCGUAAGGGUAAGACCCCAGGAAGACUACCUGGUUGAUAGGUCGAAGGUGUAAGUGCAGUAAUGUAUUUAGCUUAUCGAUACUAAUAGGUCGAGGACUUGACCA